CGUGGAUAUCUGCCUUUGGUUCGGAAUAACUCCGGGAAACUGGAGCUAAUACCGGAUGGUUCCUAACGGGAUAAAGAUUUAUCGCCAAAGAUGAGUCCGCGUACGAUUAGCUAGUUGGUGAGGUAAUGGGCUCACCAAGGCGACGAUCGUUAGCUGGUCUGAGAGGAUGAUCAGCCACACUGGGACUGAGACACGGCCCAGACUCCUACGGGAGGCAGCAGUGGGGAAUAUUGGACAAUGGGCGAAAGCCUGAUCCAGCAAUGCCGCGUGAGUGAUGAAGGCCCUAGGGUUGUAAAGCUCUUUUACCAGGGAUGAUAAUGACAGUACCUGGAGAAUAAGCUCCGGCUAACUCCGUG
rnacentral:rRNA from 1 species